AUACUGAAAGUAUACUUCUAGUACAAUUGCCUUCCAAGCAAGAAGACCCUUUAGGUCAGUAUA
rnacentral:tRNA from 1 species